rnacentral:lncRNA from 1 species
GAGAGAGAGAGAGAGAGAGAGAGAGAGAGAGAGGAGGGAGGGAGGGAGGGAGGGAGGGAGGGAGGGAGAAGGAGCAGGUGACCAGGAAGGAGCUGGAGCAGAUCUGGACGGCCCUCCCCGCAGCGACCCUUCUUUCCUCUUCCGCCGGCGCCCGUAUUUCCUCCUCUUUUCCUCUGCGCUCCGCUCGUUCUUCACGCUCCCCUAUCUAAACUCCUCUCCACGGCUGAGAGAAGACUCCUCGCACCCGCGAAGAAAAGACGACGGACCAGCGAAUUCAACCUCCCCCGGCGUCCUUGACCAAGCUGGUCUUCAUCUCACAGUAAAUCAGGGGGGCACACAGAGCGAGCAAGAGAGAGAAAGAGGCGAAGGUGGGAGAAGAUGAGAAAUCAGAGGACGGGGCGGGGAGGGAAGACGACGAGGCCCCCGGGAUCCGACGGCCCACGUUCGGAGACUUCCUGCCGGGAGAAGGCGGCUGGUCUCCGCCGCUGCUCCUCCCCCCUGUUCUUGCCGGGCGCCCAUUAAAAAAUCGCAGUAAAUCCAUUCAACCCUCCCGCGAUUCUCCGGGAAAAAAAGAGGACCAUCGUCCUCGGAAUCGCGAGAAACAACCAAAAAAGGGAAGCUUUUCGAUCGGACGCGAUUGAAUGACAAAUCCCCGCGUCAAAUCGCCAAGCCGAGCCGCUCCCCAGAGCUCGGGCUGCUCUGUGAUGCACGCAAGCUUCACCCACUUGUCGUCCCAAUCCGAUUUCCUCCAAUAAACACCCGCAGAAAACAAAAAAUAUUCCAAAUAAAACCAAGAUCAUUGACCCCAAAAAAGGCAUCUCCGUCAAUAACAAUCUGAUAUCGCGAAUAC